AUUGUACGAUGGCGGCAGGCUCACCUCAUCCAAGUCGAGCGAGCGUCGGACGGGUGAGUAAUGUCAGGGAAACUGCCUGAUGGAGUGGGAUAACUCCUGGAAACGGUAGCUAAUACCGCAUAACACCAGCUGUGCCCAGAUGCGAGUAGCUAGUAGGUGGGGCAAUGGCUCACAUAGGCGACGAUCCCUAGCUGGUCUGAGAGGCGGACCAGCCACACUUGAACUGAGACACGGUCCAGACUCCUACGAGAGGCAGCAGUGGGGAAUAAUGCACAAUGGGCGCAAGCCUGAUACAGCCAUGCCGCGUGUGUGAAGAAGGCCUUCGGGUUGUAAAGCACUUUCAGCGAGGAGGCGUUACUCGCAGAAGAAGCACCGGCUAACUCCGUGCCAGCAGCCGCGGUAAUAC
rnacentral:rRNA from 1 species